UCCGGUAUGGUGUAAUGGCUAACAUUGCCGCCUUUCAACCUAUUUCGCGGCAGCUCGGGGUUCGAUUCCCCGUACCGGAA